AAUAUACUCCCUCCUUUCGGAAUUACUUGUCGGAUAAAUGAAUGUAUUUUAGAUAUAUUUUAGUUUUCAAUGCAUUCAUUUUUAUUCCUUUUCCGACAAGUAUUUUCGGACGGAGGAAGUAGCUU
rnacentral:pre_miRNA from 1 species